rnacentral:rRNA from 1 species
UACGUAGGGUGCAAGCGUUGUCCGGAAUUAUUGGGCGUAAAGAGCUCGUAGGCGGUUUGUUGCGUCGGCUGUGAAAUCCCGAGGCUCAACCUCGGGUCUGCAGUCGAUACGAGCAAACUAGAGUGUUGCAGGGGAGACUGGAAUUCCUGGUGUAGCGGUGAAAUGCGCAGAUAUCAGGAGGAACACCGGUGGCGAAGGCGGGUCUCUGGGCAACAACUGACGCUGGAGGAGCGAAAGCGUGGGGAGCGAACAGG